GCGAGUCGAAUGUAGCAAUACAUGGCGUACUGCUCAGUAACACGUGGACAACCUGCCCUUAGGUUGGGUAUAAACCCGGGAAACUGGGUAUAAUCCCCUAUAAGUCUCGGCUGCUGGAAUGCACCGAGAUUAAAAGCUCCGGCGCCUAAGGAUGGGUCUGCGGCCUAUCAGGUAGUAGUGGGUGUAGCGUACCUACUAGCCUACGACGGGUACGGGUUGUGAGAGCAAGAGCCCGGAGAUGGAUUCUGAGACACGAAUCCAGGCCCUACGGGGUGCAGCAGGCGCGAAAACUUUACAAUGCUGGCAACAGCGAUAAGGGAACCUCGAGUGCCAGGUUACAAAUCUGGCUGUCGAGAUGCCUAAAAAGCAUUUCAUAGCAAGGGCCGGGCAAGACCGGUGCCAGCCGCCGCGGUAACACCGGCGGCUCGAGUGGUAACCGUUAUUAUUGGGUCUAAAGGGUCUGUAGCCGGCCGGAUAAGUCUCUUGAGAAAUCUGGCAGCUUAACUGUCAGGCUUUCAGGAGAUACUGUCUGGCUCGAGGCCGGGAGAGGUGAGAGGUACUUCAGGGGUAGGGGUGAAAUCUUGUAAUCCUUGAAGGACCACCAGUGGCGAAGGCGUCUCACCAGAACGGACCUGACGGCAAGGAACGAAAGCUAGGGGCACGAACCGGAUUAGAUACCCGGGUAGUCCUAGCCGUAAACGAUACUCGCUAGGUGUCGGCCACGGUGCGACCGUUGUCGGUGCCGUAGGGAAGCCGUGAAGCGAGCCACCUGGGAAGUACGGCCGCAAGGCUGAAACUUAAAGGAAUUGGCGGGGGAGCACCACAACGGGUGGAGC
rnacentral:rRNA from 1 species